UACGUAGGGCGCAAGCGUUGUCCGGAAUUAUUGGGCGUAAAGAGCUCGUAGGCGGCUUGUCACGUCGGGUGUGAAAGCCCGGGGCUUAACCCCGGGUCUGCAUUCGAUACGGGCAGACUUGAGUUCGGUAGGGGAGACUGGAAUUCCUGGUGUAGCGGUGAAAUGCGCAGAUAUCAGGAGGAACACCGGUGGCGAAGGCGGGUCUCUGGGCCGAUACUGACGCUGAGGAGCGAAAGCGUGGGGAGCGAACAGG
rnacentral:rRNA from 1 species